ACAGGGAUUGCCCUAGUAACGGCGAGUGAAGCGGCAACAGCUCAAAUUUGAAAUCUGGCACCAGCCCGAGUUGUAAUUUGUAGAGGAUGCUUCUGGGCAGCGGCCGUUCUAAGUUCCUUGGAACAGGACGUCAUAGAGGGUGAGAAUCCCGUAUGUGACCGGCACGUACCCUCCACGUAGCUCCUUCGACGAGUCGAGUUGUUUGGGAAUGCAGCUCUAAAUGGGAGGUAAAUUUCUUCUAAAGCUAAAUACCGGCCAGAGACCGAUAGCGCACAAGUAGAGUGAUCGAAAGAUGAAAAGCACUUUGGAAAGAGAGUUAAAAAGCACGUGAAAUUGUUGAAAGGGAAGCGCUUGCAACCAGACUUCGUGGCGGUGUUCCGCCGGUCUUCUGACCGGUCCACUCGCCGCCGCGAGGCCAGCAUCGUCUGGGGCCGCCGGAUAAGACCUUGGGAAUGUAGCUCGCCUCGGUGAGUAUUAUAGCCCAUGGUGAUACGGCGCGCCCCGGGCGAGGUCCGCGCUUCGGCAAGGAUGCUGGCGUAAUGGUUGUCAGCGGCCCGUCUUGAAACACGGACCAAGGAGUCUAACAUCUAUGCGAGUGUUCGGGUGUCAAACCCCUACGCGUAAUGAAAGUGAACGGAGGUGGGAAGCGCAAGCUGCACCAUCGACCGAUCCUGAUGUCCUCGGAUGGAUUUGAGUAAGAGCAUAGCUGUUGGGGACCCGAAAGAUGGUGAACUAUGCCUGAAUAGGGUGAAGCCAGAGGAAACUCUGGUGGAGGCUCGCAGCGGUUCUGACGUGCAAAUCGAUCGUCAAAUUUGGGUAUAGGGGCGAAAGACUAAUC
rnacentral:rRNA from 1 species